AUCGCUUCUCGGCCUUUUGGCUAAGAUCAAGUGUAUAAUACUUUCAACAAUAAAGAUAAAUUUUUUAAAAACACACCCCCC
rnacentral:snRNA from 1 species